AAAGUACUCCCUCCGUCCCAAAAUUCUUGUCUUGGAUUUGUCUAGAUACAGAUGUAUCAAGUCACAUUUUAGUAUUAGAUACAUUCGUAUCUAGACAAAUCUAAGACAAGAAAUUUGGGACAGAGGGAGUAGUUG
rnacentral:pre_miRNA from 1 species